AUUGAACGCUGGCGGCAUGCUUUACACAUGCAAGUCGAACGGUAACAGGCCGCAAGGUGCUGACGAGUGGCGAACGGGUGAGUAAUGCAUCGGAACGUGCCCAGUCGUGGGGGAUAACGCAGCGAAAGCUGCGCUAAUACCGCAUACGAUCUCUGGAUGAAAGCGGGGGACCGAAAGGCCUCGCGCGAUUGGAGCGGCCGAUGUCAGAUUAGGUAGUUGGUGGGGUAAAGGCCCACCAAGCCAACGAUCUGUAGCUGGUCUGAGAGGACGACCAGCCACACUGGGACUGAGACACGGCCCAGACUCCUACGGGAGGCAGCAGUGGGGAAUUUUGGACAAUGGGCGCAAGCCUGAUCCAGCAAUGCCGCGUGCAGGAAGAAGGCCUUCGGGUUGUAAACUGCUUUUGUACGGAACGAAACGGUCUGGGUUAAUACCCUGGGCUAAUGACGGUACCGUAAGAAUAAGCACCGGCUAACUACGUGCCAGCAGCCGCGGUAA
rnacentral:rRNA from 1 species